rnacentral:rRNA from 1 species
AGCGAACGCUGGCGGCAGGCCUAAUACAUGCAAGUCGAACGGCUCUUCGGAGCAGUGGCGGACGGGUGAGUAACGCGUGGGAACGUGCCCUUUGUAACGGACAAACGGAGGGAAACUCAGGUAAUAACGGUAGUUCCCUUCGGGGGGAAAGAUUUAUCGCCAUUGGAGCGGCCCGCGUUGGAUUAGCUAGUUGGUGGGGUAAAGGCCCACCAAGGCGACGAUCCAUAGCUGGUCUGAGGGGAUGAUCAGCCACACUGGGACUGAGACACGGCCCAGACUCCUACGGGAGGCAGCAGUAGGGAAUCUUGCGCAAUGGGCGAAAGCCUGACGCAGCCAUGCCGCGUGAAUGAUGAAGGUCUUAGGAUUGUAAAAUUCUUUCACCGGGGAAGAUAAUGACGGUACCCGGAGAAGAAGCCCCGGCUAACUUCGUGCCAGCCGCCGCUGUAACAC